CCUACGGGAGGCUGCAGUGGGGGAUAUUGCACAAUGGGGGAAACCCUGAUGCAGCGACGCCGCGUGGGUGAAGAAGCGCCUCGGCGCGUAAAGCCCUGUCAGCAGGGAAGAAAAUGACGGUACCUGAAGAAGAAGCCCCGGCUAACUACGGGCCAGCAGCCGCGGUAAUACGUAGGGGGCAAGCGUGAUCCGGAUUUACUGGGUGUAAAGGGGGCGCAGACGGCGAUGCAAGCCAGGAGUGAAAGCCCGGGGCCCAACCCCGGGACUGCUCUUGGAACUGCGUGGCUAGAGUGCAGGAGGGGCGGGCGGAAUUCCUGGUGUAGCGGUGAAAUGCGUAGAUAUCAGGAGGAACACCGGUGGCGAAGGCGGCCUGCUGGACUGCAACUGACGUUGAGGCGCGAAAGCGUGGGGAGCAAACAGGAUUAGAUACCCGGGUAGUC
rnacentral:rRNA from 1 species